AGCAGAAUUCACCAAGCGUUGGAUUGUUCACCCACUAAUAGGGAACGUGAGUUGGGAUUAGACCGUCGUGAGACAGGUUAGUUUUACCCUACUGAUGAUGUUAGAUCGGAAGAUCGUCGUGUAGGAACAGAGUCUGGUGUGUGUCUAUCU